GGAAGUAAAAUCGUAACAAGGUCUCCGUUGGUGAACCAGCGGAGGGAUCAUUACAGAGUUGCAAAACUCCCAAACUAUUGUGAACGUUACCUAUCCCGUUGCUUCGGCGGGCGGCCCGGGCCCCGCGCCCGGCGCCCCCCGGCCCCCCGUGGGCGCCCGCCGGAGGUAAACCAAACCCUUGAAUUGCAUGGCCUCUCUGAGUCUUCUGUACUGAAUAAGUCAAAACUUUCAACAACGGAUCUCUUGGUUCUG
rnacentral:misc_RNA from 1 species